GAGAGAGGGAGGAGAGGUGAGGAUCCGGCAGCAACCAAUGUUUCCCAUAUCCACCCAGCAAACCUGCAUGGUGGCUCCCUGAUUUCUGCCACCCACGGAUUUUCCCACGCUGGGACACACUGGAAGGCAGCUGGCCUACUUGAAAGAUGGAAAUGAGAGUACACAGAGUCAGGAACCAGCCAGCAUGCAGUACAAAGAAGGGACACAGGUGCUUCAGACAACACUGACAGUCAAAUGAACAACAGGAAUAUGCGUUCUGGCUGCAGUCUAGACACAGCUGGCCACCACUCCUGCCUGAGGUCAGGAUUACUCUACUCAGUGCUCCUAGAGGGUCCCAUCACUGUCAUCUCUUUAUAAGGUUGAUAUGAUCUGCCCUUCGCUUCCUUCUCUCAGGAGCUGCCACAGCCAGAACUUUGUUGCUCAUUCUCAUGCCCACAGAAGUAACCUGGAAAAUGUGCCCUGCUCAGGCGGCCUCUCACACCCUCGCUGUCUUCUCAGUCCUGCCUCUGUUGCAC
rnacentral:lncRNA from 1 species